ACUUUACAAUGCAGGAAACUGUGAUAAGGGAACCCCGAGUGCCUGUAUGGACAGGCUGUUCAGGUGCGUAAAAAACACCUGGAGAAAGGGCCGGGCAAGACCGGUGCCAGCCGCCGCGGUAAUACCGGCGGCUCGAGUGGUGGCCACUAUUACUGGGCUUAAAGCGUCCGUAGCUGGGUAGUUAAGUCUCUGGGGAAAUCUUCCGGCUCAACCGGAAGGCGUCUCAGGGAUACUGGCUGCCUUGGGAUCGGGAGAGGUGAGAGGUACUCUGGGGGUAGGAGUGAAAUCCUGUUAUCCUCAGGGGACCACCUGUGGCGAAGGCGUCUCACCAGAACGACUCCGACAGUGAGGGACGAAAGCUGGGGGAGCAAACCGG
rnacentral:rRNA from 1 species